GAUGAACGCUAGCUACAGGCUUAACACAUGCAAGUCGAGGGGCAGCAUGAAGUUUGCUUGCAAACUUUGAUGGCGACCGGCGCACGGGUGAGUAACGCGUAUCCAACCUGCCCCGUACUCGGGUAUAGCCCAGCGAAAGCUGGAUUAAUCCCCGAUGUCACCUUUAUGGUGCAUGCCAUAUUGGUUAAAGUUAUUCGGUACGGGAUGGGGAUGCGUCUGAUUAGGUAGUAGGCGGGGUAACGGCCCACCUAGCCGACGAUCAGUAGGGGUUCUGAGAGGAAGGUCCCCCACACUGGAACUGAGACACGGUCCAGACUCCUACGGGAGGCAGCAGUGAGGAAUAUUGGUCAAUGGGCGAGAGCCUGAACCAGCCAAGUAGCGUGCAGGAUGACGGCCCUACGGGUUGUAAACUGCUUUUAUGCGGGAAUAAAGAUAUCUACGUGUAGAUAGUUGCAUGUACCGCAUGAAUAAGGACCGGCUAAUUCCGUGCCAGCAGCCGCCGUAAUAC
rnacentral:rRNA from 1 species